UCACUUACCUAGAUGGGGUCCAUGAGUGAUCAUUUAGGUUCAAGGCCUAGAUUGUUGACCUGAUUGCAUAUUGCAGAGGGGCAGCUGCCUAAGAUAUCCCCAAGAGGGAGACUCUACGUUAUAAUUUGUGGUAGUGGGGACUUUUGUUCGCGUAAGCCUUGU